ACCAACCACUUCUUGCUCAACAUGCAAUAUCUGGCAGUUCCUGGGAAUACCAUCAAUAGCGUGCAUAGCCAUAUGCCUCAGGAGAGUUGUUUUCCCUGUACCGUUUCUUCCAAUAAGACCGUAGUGUCUUCCAAAAGAAAGCGUGACAGAACCAUCGACAAUAAGUUCACGACCACCGACAGAUAUAUUGAAGUUCUCCAUACGGAUAUCCUUAACAGUUGGUCCAUCACCCUGACCAUCAUGAUUCACACACACUAAAGGCAUACCAGCUUUCACUUCCUCCACUUCUUUCAAGUGUUCUUGGUAUUCUGCCUCUCUCAGGCGUUCCUCUUUCCUCUUCCUUCUUUCAAUCUUAAUCUUGUCACGUUCUGUGAGCAAAGGACCAUCAACUGGUUCUGGCUUUUUAUUCUUUGGAGCUUCCUCUUCAUCCAUUCCAUCAAACAUUCUCAGCGGCAUUUUUAAGCUUCUCACCGUCGGUUGGGGUUUAGCCAAUUCAUGCUUCUCUAACUUCUCAGACAACUUGCUACAAACCGCACGACAUUCGGAGAAGUCAGUAACACAACCGGAAUCGACAAGUAGCUCUCCAAGGGCUUCAAAAGCACCUUCACCGUCGUGACCAAAAUCGAAAUCUUCAUCGGCGACGACAUUGAUAAUAUAGUCGAUAAUAGGCUGAUCUACAUCUUGAGCUCGUCUGCCUAGGAUUUCGUGUACAACGUUGCUCGCGACUUCAGUCAUCUUCGUUCUCCACUUUCCGCCUUCUGCCGGUGAUGGAGAAGAUGAACCGGAAUGAAAGGGAAAAUGGGUUGUGGACCGGGUUGCGGGUACAGUGUGAGGCGGCUCUGUGAGAGAAUCCUGGCGAAACCUCAA
rnacentral:misc_RNA from 1 species